rnacentral:rRNA from 1 species
AGAGUUUGAUCCUGGCUCAGAACUAACGCUGGCGGCGUGCCUAACACAUGCAAGUCGAACGCGAACGGAGCAAUCCUAGUAGAGUGGCGCACGGGUGCGUAACACGUGGAUAAUCUGCCCUCGGGAUCGGGAUAACUGUUGGAAACGGCAGCUAAUACCGGGUAAGACCACGGAGUGAAAGCUACGUGGUAAAAGUGGGGGAUUUUUCGAAACCUCACACCUGAGGAUGAGUCCGCGGCCCAUCAGCUAGUUGGUAGGGUAACGGCCUACCAAGGCUAAGACGGGUAGCUGGUCUGAGAGGACGACCAGCCACACUGGAACUGAGACACGGUCCAGACUCCUACGGGAGGCAGCAGUGGGGAAUAUUGCACAAUGGGCGCAAGCCUGAUGCAGCGACGCCGCGUGGGGGACGAAGGCCUUCGGGUUGUAAACCCCUGUCGGCAGGGACGAAUGGGUGGGCAGCUAACAUCUGUCUAUCCUGACGGUACCUGUAAAGGAAGCACCGGCUAACUCUGUGCCAGCAGCCGCGGUAAGACAGAGGGUGCAAGCGUUGUUCGGAAUUACUGGGCGUAAAGGGCGCGUAGGCGGUCUUAUAAGUCGGAUGUGAAAUCCCUCGUUUCAAGCGAGGAACUGCAUUCGAAACUAUUCGACUAGAGUCCUGGAGAGGGAACUGGAAUUCCUGGUGUAGAGGUGAAAUUCGUAGAGAUCAGGAGGAACACCCGAGGCGAAGGCGGGUUCCUGGACAGUGACUGACGCUGAGGCGCGAAAGCGUGGGUAUCAAACAGGAUUAGAUACCCUGGUAGUCCACGCUGUAAACGAUGAACACUAGUUGUCGGUGGCAUUGACCCCGCCGGUGACGAAGCUAACGCAUUAAGUGUUCCGCCUGGGGAGUACGGCCGCAAGGUUAAAACUCAAAGGAAUUGACGGGGGCCCGCACAAGCGGUGGAGCAUGUAGUUUAAUUCGACGCAACGCGAAGAACCUUACCCAGAUUUGACAUCUAAGGAAUCCGCUAGAAAUAGUGGAGUGCCUUUCGGGGAGCCUUAAGACAGGUGCUGCAUGGCUGUCGUCAGCUCGUGUCGUGAGAUGUUGGGUUAAGUCCCGCAACGAGCGCAACCCUUGCCGUUAGUUGCCAGCGAGUAAAGUCGGGCACUCUAACGGGACUGCCGGUGUUAAGCCGGAGGAAGGUGGGGAUGACGUCAAGUCCUCAUGGCCUUUAUGUCUGGGGCUACAUACGUGCUACAAUGGUCGGUACAAAGGGCAGCGAAACCGCGAGAUGGAGCGAAUCCCAAAAAACCGAUCUCAGUUCAGAUUGGAGUCUGCAACUCGACUCCAUGAAGCCGGAAUCGCUAGUAAUCGCGGAACAGCAGGCCGCGGUGAAUACGUUCCCGGGCCUUGUACACACCGCCCGUCACACCAUGGGAGUCGGCUGCUCCAGAAGUCGCUGAGCUAACCGCAAGGAGGCAGGCGCCCAAGGAGUGGUCGGUGACUGGGGUGAAGUCGGAACAAGGUA